ensembl:miRNA mdo-mir-7374a mdo-mir-7374a
AAGCCCUUACCAAUAUAUUAGAGAAAUCUAAAUCUAAUAUAAAGGAAGGGGUUGC